UCCUAAAUUCUGCACAGGUUCACAGUAACCCUAAUCUUCCUUCUUCUGCUAUCAUCCCCACACUUUUUUUUCUUCUUUUUCUUCUUUUCCUUCUCUUAUUAAGAGGUUUUGUUUUCAUGGUGCAGUUCUGUAAAGAUGUUUUCUCAAAGUAACUCUAAAAGUUUCUCGAGAUUGGUGGAGUUAAAACUGUUUAGAUCGAAGGAGCGUUAUCAGGAUUCUGACUUGAAACUCAGCAGCCGUCACUUUCCCCUUCCGCACUAGAGCUCUGCUAGGGUUCCUCCCCAAGCCUCUCAAGCUAGCUCCGAAUCAGUUUCUACUCCACCUCUUUAGUGCGUUCUAGAGCUGCCGUGCUCUUUGGUUACGCGUCGAACGUUCUGUACGAACCCAUUUCUAGAUGGGCGAGGUUCUCGUGGUCAACAAGGGAAUGGCGAUUCCGCAGCUUAGCCAUCUGGGCUGGAGUCAUCUUAUUCAUGAUUUCUUUAGGGCUACGGCCCCUGUAUCGUCUUAUGCUUUCUUACUCUACACUCUUUGUUAGAAUUAUAUCUGAUUUAUGCUGGCAUCGUGAUGUGCCAGGUUGUAGGGGUUGCGUUAAGGACCCCAAGACUAC